UAAUUUGGCCGUGUGUCUGGUUACACCAUAUUCCUAGAGGGGGAGUGGGGACUGGAUUCUGACAGCCAGCUUACAUUCUCUGCCCCAGAGAAUAAAGGAAAUAUAAAUCAGGGUCUCCUCCUUAUUGCAGAUUGUUAUGAAAACAGGCAAGAUUGCCCUAAAGACAGCAGAAGGCUUUGAUUUUGAAAUAGCCAAGACUUGAUUGUGUGAAUUUUUGACCGACCCAGAGGGCACUUCCUUUACCCUAAUCCCACAGUUAGGAGAGAUCUGAGAAUUGGAAGCAAUGAACGUCCCCAGGAGCCAAGUCUGGGGAGUACCUUGGACGCUGAAGCUGAGAAAGAAUGUUCCUACCUCAGAAAUGGAGGGUAUGAUCCACCUCAUCUUUCAGUCAGCCUCAUGCUCAUCUGGCUCCCAGGCUUCUGGAACAAGAAGAGUCACUCCAAAUGAGAUUUCCCAUGCAUUCCGGGAUCUCCACACGCCAUAUGCUGAGCGGUCUGUGGCUCCCUUGAAUGGCAAACAGUUAUGUCCACUUGUUCGUUUUGUUCUUUUAUUUGGCCCCUUGUCUGAACAGAGACACAGAAUCCAGGGUCUCUUGCAUCAUGAGUUCUCAUGGGGCCAUUUGUGUUUCUGUUGUCAGCUAUUGUUCUGAAUUCGGGACACUAUUCCCAAAUCAUACGUUUUCAUCCCUAAUUGAACCGGGAGCCAUCCGGACACCUCCCUGUCUUCCCCUUUCCUCUU